rnacentral:rRNA from 1 species
CAGUAGCCGCGGUAAUACGAAGGGUGCAAGCGUUAAUCGGAAUUACUGGGCGUAAAGCGUGCGUAGGCGGUUUGUUAAGUCUGCUGUGAAAUCCCCGGGCUCAACCUGGGAAUGGCAGUGGAUACUGGCAAGCUAGAGUGUGUCAGAGGAUGGUGGAAUUCCCGGUGUAGCGGUGAAAUGCGUAGAGAUCGGGAGGAACAUCAGUGGCGAAGGCGGCCAUCUGGGACAACACUGGCGCUGAGGCACGAAAGCGUGGGGAGCAAACAGGAUUAGAUACCCGUGUAGUCCCUGUCUCUUAUAC